rnacentral:rRNA from 1 species
AAGGGAGGCGAACGUGGGGAACUGAAACAUCUAAGUACCCAUAGGAGGAGAAAAUAAACAAUGAUUCCGUAAGUAGUGGCGAGCGAACACGGAAGAGCCCAAACCCAUGUCGUCUAGGCGACACGGGGGUUGUAGGACCACGACGUGGCAAGAUAGAGUCAAGUGGAACGCCUUGGAAAAGGCGGUCAUAGAGGGUGAAAACCCCGUACACGACUGACGAUUGAAGCCUAGUGGCAUCCUGAGUAGCGCGGGGCACGAGAAAUCUUGCGUGAAUUAGCGGGGCCCAUCCCGUAAGGCUAAAUACUCCCGAGAGACCGAUAGCGAACCAGUACCGUGAGGGAAAGGUGAAAAGAACCCCGAGCAGGGGAGUGAAAUAGACCCUGAACCCGUCUGCCUACAAGCGGUCGGAGCGUCGUAAUGACGUGACGGCGUGCCUUUUGCAUAAUGAACCUACGAGUUACCUUCCCCGGCAAGGUUAAGUACCUAAGGUACGGAGCCGAAGCGAAAGCGAGUCUGAACAGGGCGCCAAGUCGGGGGGGGUAGACGCGAAACCGAGUGAUCUACCUUGGCCAGGUUGAAGGUUGGGUAACACCAACUGGAGGACCGGAUGGGUAAGCGUUGAAAAGCUUUCCAAUGAGCUGAGGGUAGGGGUGAAAGGCUAAUCAAACUCGGAGAUAGCUCGUACUCCCCGAAAUGCAUUUAGGUGCAGCCUCUUUAUAGUAUAUCGUGAGGUAGAGCGACUGAUUGGAUGCGAGGGCUUCACCGCCUAUCAAGUCCAGAUAAACUCCGAAUGCGCGAUAUAUAUUUAAAGGGAGUGAGGGCGCGGGUGCUAAGGUCCGUGUCCGAGAGGAGAAGAAUCCAGACCACCGGCUAAGGCCCCCAAAUGAUCGUUAAGUUGAACUAACGAGGUCGGAUCGCAGAGACAGCUAGGAUGUUGGCUUGGAAGCAGCCAUUCAUUUAAAGAGUGCGUAACAGCUCACUAGUCGAGCGAUCUGGCGUGGAUAAUAAUCGGGCAUAAACGAUCUGCCGAAGCCGUGGAUGUCGCAAGACAUGGUAGGGGAGCAUUCCAUGCCGCGUCGAAGAUGAGGGAUGACCCUUGUUGGAGCGCAUGGAAAAGCAAAUGUAGGUAUGAGUAACGAUAAGGGGGGCGAGAAACCCCCCCGCCGAAAGACCAAGGUUUCCUGAUCAACGCUAAUCGGAUCAGGGUGAGUCGGGACCUAAGGCAAAGCCGAACGGCGCCGCCGAUGGAAGAAUGGGUUAAUAUUCCCAUACUGCCUCAUGGAGUGACGUGGAGACGGAGAAGUGACAGUCCUGCCGGCUGACGGAAUAGCCGGUUGAAGGGUGUAGAUAUUGAUUCCCGUAGGCAAAUCCGCGGGGAGAGUCGAACCUGAGAGUAUACGGAGCGCUUGCGCGACGUAAUAUGGACGUAACCAUGCUCCCGAGAAAAUCCGCUAAACUUAUCCAUGCGGCACCCGUACCGUAAACGGACACACGUGGUCGGGUUGAGAAUACUGAGGCGCUCGAGUGAUUCACGGUUAAGGAACUAGGCAAAUUGACCCUGUAACUUCGGGAUAAAGGGUCCUCGUCGUAAGGCGAGGCGCAGAGAAUAGGUCCAGGCAACUGUUUAACAAAAACACAUGGCUGUGCUAAAUGGAAACAUGAUGUAUACAGCCUGACACCUGCCCGGUGCCGGAAGGUUAAGAGGAGAUGUCAUCCGCGAGGAGAAGCGUUGAAUUGAAGCCCCGGUAAACGGCGGCCGUAACUAUAACGGUCCUAAGGUAGCGAAAUUCCUUGUCGGGUAAGUUCCGACCUGCACGAAUGGUGUAAUGAUCUGGACACUGUCUCAACCGUGAGCUCGGUGAAAUUGUAGUAUCGGUGAAGAUGCCGAUUACCCGCGAUGGGACGAAAAGACCCCGUGAACCUUUACUAUAGCUUUACAUUGA